GUUCUUGCCGUAAACGAUGUAUACUUGAUGUAGUUGGGCUCAACCCUGACUGUGUCGAAGCGAACGCGAUAAGUAUACCGCCUGAGGAGUACGCUCGCAAGGGUGAAACUCAAAAGAAUUGACGGGGGCCCCGCACAAGCAGUGGAGCAUGUGGUUUAAUUCGACGCAACGCGAAGAACCUUACCCAGGCUCGAAAUGCAGUGGGCGACAUCAGAAAUGGUGUUUUCCGUAAGGACUGCUGCAUAGGUGCUGCAUGGCUGUCGU
rnacentral:rRNA from 1 species